UUGGAUCUAAGUAAGGAGUAGAAAACCCGAACCCUUCUCCCAACUCCUAUCUUCCGAUCGUUUUUGAUCCCGAACCCUUCUCCCAACUCCUCAUCUCACGCGGCCUUCUCCAUCCAACUCCUCUCCGGCGAACCACUCCUCCGAAUUCCUCUCCGUCAAGACCACACCUUCGUCAAGCGGCAGAUCCCGGUGCUGAGGCGAUCAACCACGACAGAUCAACCCCUCUCUUCGCCUCCUUCGCCCCCGACGAAGCCUCUCUUCCCUCCGGCGAACGUUCACUGCGCUUAGGAUAGAGCAGGCGCAUCAACUCUCUUCUUCAUCUGCAUCGCCAAGCUACCCUUUGCUCAGCCGAUUCCCUUGCUAUUGGGUUCACCUGCAAGUAAUCCUCGCGCGCUGAUCUCUUCUCGCUAUCAGAAGGUCCUUUCUUAGGUUCUUCUCCACUGAUUAUCUUCUCUUGUCGUUCUUUGUUUACUCGGUAAUGUUGAACUUGAGCUCUUGGGGAUCUUAGUUAAUGGUUGCCUGUGGGUGGGAAAGUUGCUCUUUUUUUGUCUUCUUGUUGUAGUGUUUUAGGUCUUUGUUUCUGAGGUGAUGGUUCUUGGUGUUAGGGAUUCUUGGUGAUCUAUUUUCUCCCUUGUGAUCGGCAGUUUUGAUGGAUAUACAUUGUUUCUUUAAUUCUUUCAGGUGUCAGUUAAACUUCGAAUUGUAGAGCAAGUUUUCCUUUUAAUUCUGUCUAUUGUUGGUUCAGGAUAGAUUCUAAACAUGAGCCGUGUCUUUCAAGAGAAGAAUGUAAGUGAUCAAUAUAAUUGUUCGGAUAGAUGGGUGAAAUUAUUUCAUCUGCUGUAUGAUUUUAGAUGAGAAUGAUGGUGGAUUUAAGGUCAGUAACCCUCUUCUUUUGGUCAGAGAAUCUCCUGGAAUUUGAUUUCUAGGGUUUCUUUAGAUUGCAAAAUGUUACUUCUGUUUACAGACUGCGAUUGAAUUGUGAUGCCUUAUCUGAGAAAGGUCAAGGUGAGCGUCAUAAAGAAAACGUGUAAAUGUUAACCACAGAGUAAACACCUUGACUCUCCCAACCACACGCGAUCUGCUUGCCAAGUAUGCACUGAGGAUGGCAAUCACUUCCUACUCUAGGAAGAAUAUGAAACAUAGAAAAGGGGGAAAAACUUUGUCCCAAGAAACAAAGGUAGCAGUGAUCAAAGGUGCAGAACCUGGGCCACCUUAUACAACUAGAGAAAAUCUUAUUACAAAUGCAGGAAAAAUGGUCCUGUUAGAUAAUCUGUUGCCUAAACUGAAGGAACGAGAUUCCAGAGUUCUAAUAUUUUCACAGAUGACUAGACUUCUGGGCAUGCAUACUGGAAGAUUACUUGCUAUAUCGUGGUUACCAAUAUUGCCGGAUUGAUGGGAAUACUGGGGGAGAAGAACGGGAUGCUUCCAUUGAAACAUUUAAUCAACCUGGAAGCCAAAAGUUCAUUUUCUUACUUUCUACAAGAGCUGGUGGAUUGGGAAUUAAUCUUGCUACAGCAGAUGUUGUCAUUCUCUAUGAUAGUGACUAGUAUUCCUCUUCCAUUAUGUGAAUCCUGUUGCUACAUUUAUGCUCAUCACUAAAUUGUUAUGGAUACCUCUACUAGGAAUCCACAAGUUGAUUUGCAAGCAUAGGAUCGUGCUCAUAGAAUUGGGCAAAAGAAAGAAGUUCAAGUGUUCCGUUUCUGUACUGAGUUUGCAAUUGAGGAGAAAGUGAUAGAGAGAGCAUACAAGAAGCUUGCACUUGAUGCCUUGGUUAUUCAGCAAUUUAUCCAUUAUCUAUCAGUUUUUUUGUUUCUAAUCAAUAACUUCCUCGAUGCAACUGUUAAUAAAGAUGAACUUCUACAAAUGGUUAGAUUUGGUGCUGAAAUGGUUUUUAGCUCCAAGGGCAGUACAAUAACUGAUGAGGAUAUCGAUCGUAUCAUAGCUAAAGGAGAAGAAGCGACUGCAGAACUUGAUGUGAAAAUGAAAAAGUUUACAGAGGAUGCGAUAAAGUUUAAGAUGGAUGACAGUAUGCUGAUUCCUUUCUGAUAACAAUUCCUAGAUAUUUCCUUGGAUGACUUAUGUAAUUUCUGUUUUUUGUUACAGCUGCUGACUUGUUACGCGGUCAGAAUUCUAUUAUUUUGGUA